UGUGGUCAUUUUACAUGAUUCCCUAUAUGGCUUUUUUGGUCAUUAGUAAUUUGUGGUGACUUGAUACUUGAUUGGGCACAGUUUAAAAUUAAAUACAGGCUUUAAAACCAGAUUAUAACUCCGUGCCCCUCUACAGUGUAUGAGCCAAGAUUAUCUAUUGUUACAGUUAAGUCAGGCUUAUACUGUUUAGUUUUGUUGUCGAGUUCUCCUGCACUGUUUAAGUUUUGGAAGAGAGAGUUUUUAUUUCUGUUUUAUUAGUUUCUUUAUGAGUGUAACACCUUUUCCAACUGCUGCACUUGUUUUUUCCAGGUCUGCUUGUUCUGCUGUCGCAACCUGGACGGAAAUAGCAGCUCUCACUUUACAGACUAUAGAGGUGUCACCACUUUGUCCACAAACAUAGAGUGUCUUUGUACAUUGAAGAAGUUCUUUGAGACCAGGACAGAGACCUCCAGGAUUCAACCAUUAAAUCACAGAGAGACAGACGUGAAGACAUUUCUAGAAGGUUUUCAGCUGCCGUCAUCUACUCCUGCAGAGACAAGAACAUGUGUUAAUCAUACAUCUCAGCAUCACAUAUUUUACUGUUUUACUGUUACUGUUUUUUUUUCUAUUAUUAUAGUCACAGUAAUGACUAGAAAUGGCUCUGAAACAAUAUAAAAUAACAACCUACUGUAAUUACUACAUAAUUAUCUCUCAAAUUUCACAGAGGUAAAUAUGACGCAUGUA